ACGAAGAGAACUGAAAUGCAACGAGUUGUUCUAUCACUAUCCACGAACAGAGCUCGUUGGCGUCCGCUUGUCGAAUUGCUCAAUGGCUAUAGCACU
ensembl:snoRNA C41C4.17 ncRNA